rnacentral:rRNA from 1 species
GAUGAACGCUAGCUACAGGCUUAACACAUGCAAGUCGAGGGGAAACGAUGAGAGAGCUUGCUCUCUUAGUCGUCGACCGGCGCACGGGUGAGUAACGCGUAUCCAACCUGCCUCUGACCAAGGGAUAACCCGUCGAAAGUCGGACUAAUACCUUAUGCAGUCGUCGGAAGUCAUCUGAUGACGACGAAAGAUUUCAUCGGUGAGAGAUGGGGAUGCGUCUGAUUAGCUUGUUGGCGGGGUAACCGCCCAACAAGGCGACGAUCAGUAGGGGUUCUGGGGGGAAGGUCCCCCAAAUUGGAACUGAGACCCGGUCCAAACUCCGACGGGAGGGAGCAGUGAGGAACAUUGGUCAAUGGGCGUAAGCCUGAACCAGCCAAGUAGCGUGCAGGAUGACGGCGCUAUGGGUUGUAAACUGCUUUUAUGCGGGGAUAAAGUGAGGGACGUGUCCUUCAUUGAAGGUACCGAAUGAAUAAGGACCGGCUAAUUCCGUG